UAUGAUUGUAAUUCUCAUUUC
rnacentral:piRNA from 1 species